rnacentral:siRNA from 1 species
CUAUUCAAAAUCAUUAAGGGU